GACGUAGGGCGCGAGCGUUGUCCGGAUUUAUUGGGCGUAAAGAGCUCGUAGGCGGCUUGUCGCGUCGUCCGUGAAAACCUGCAGCUCAACUGCAGGCUUGCGGGCGAUACGGGCAGGCUAGAGUUCGGUAGGGGAGACUGGAAUUCCUGGUGUAGCGGUGAAGUGCGCAGAUAUCAGGAAGAACACCCGUGGCGAAGGCGGCUCUCUGGGACGGUACUGACGCUGAGACGCGAAAGCGUGGGGAGCGAACAGG
rnacentral:rRNA from 1 species